UACGUAGGUGACAAGCGUUGUCCGGAUUUAUUGGGCGUAAAGAGCUCGUAGGCGGUUUGUUGCGUCGGCUGUGAAAACCUGAGGCUCAACCUCAGGCCUGCAGUCGAUACGAGCAGACUAGAGUGUUGCAGGGGAGACUGGAAUUCCUGGUGUAGCGGUGAAAUGCGCAGAUAUCAGGAGGAACACCGGUGGCGAAGGCGGGUCUCUGGGCAACAACUGACGCUGAGGAGCGAAAGCGUGGGGAGCGAACAGG
rnacentral:rRNA from 1 species